rnacentral:rRNA from 1 species
CGCGUAGGCGGCCAAGGCAGUCGGGUGUGAAAGCCCGGGGCUCAACCCCGGAACUGCACUCGAUACUCUUUGGCUCGAGGCCGGAAGAGGAGGGUGGAAUACCCAGUGUAGAGGUGAAAUUCGUAGAUAUUGGGUGGAACACCGGUGGCGAAAGCGGCUCUCUGGUCCGGACCUGACGCUGAGGCGCGAAAGCGUGGGGAGCAAACA